rnacentral:other from 1 species
UGUCCCCUGCUGUUCACGACCGCGCAUUCUUACAUAUGCCUUGGUCCUAUUUAACGACCCGGGUUAGCAGCGUCGAAAGCUGUGUGCAUGUCCGCCUCGUGCGGAAAGCCUAAGGCCUCGCCAGCUAUCCCACCUGAUCCUCUGGAUCAAGGUCGUUCGAUGCGCAUCGUCAUGGUGGAGGGCGC